UUUAUUAUGUACAUGUUUUUGAACGGUUUGAAAUUUUAACUACCGUACGAUGGAUGAUUCACGUUCGAGAAAAUGAAUCCAUUGGUUUACUUUAUUCUAUGUGUUUUUGUAACGGAAGUGCUAUCAAAAAAAGCUUUACUUGUUAAUAUACGCGACGGACGCCCAUGGGGGGACCUUGAAGACCCUUGGAACCGUAAAAUCACUAUCUUCAAAUACUACGUUACGGAUUACGAUUACAAAUAUUUAGCCGCGUGCCCUGCUUCUAGCCCUCUAGAACAUCAAUUCAACAAAGAUGUCUCGUUAACCAAACAAAGCGUAUUCUCGCGAUUAAUUAUAUGGAGAAAUCGAUCACUGACAGACAGUGAUCUUGAUAUUUGUGAGGAGUCGUACGAGCCCGCCAUGAUUUAUAAUACAUUUACGGGAGAGUAUAGAAUAGGAUAUGAGCUUUAUUACUUUAAAAACGAGACUGAAUGUAAUUUCAAAAAUGGAUAUCCGGCUCUGG